UACGUAGGGUGCAAGCGUUGUUCGGAAUUACUGGGCGUAAAGAGUGUGUAGGCGGCUCUCUAAGUUCGGUGUGAAAUCUCUCGGCUUAACUGGGAGGGUGCGCCGGAAACUGGAGUGCUCGAACGUGGGAGAGGAAAGCGGAAUUCCUGGUGUAGCGGUGAAAUGCGUAGAUAUCAGGAGGAACACCUGCGGUGUAGACGGCUUUCUGGACCAUUGUUGACGCUGAGACACGAAAGCGUGGGUAGCAAACAGG
rnacentral:rRNA from 1 species